rnacentral:lncRNA from 1 species
AUCCCAAGCAAUGAUGAGAGGUGUAGGAGGAAAGCUGAGGAAGUAUAGAGUCACAGAAACCUAACGAGAGAGAGGUCAACUGUGUGGAGGGCUGCUGUGAGGUCAAAUAAAAUGAAGACUGACAUGGGUCCACUGGCUUAACAGUUGGUGGUCAUAGCUUCAGCAAUUAUGGGGGAACCGUGGGGCGAGCAGCCUGUUGAGUGUGCGUUAAGGAAGGAGAGGAAGAUGGAGAAAUGGGGUGCUACAUUUCUCUUUGAUAAACCUGUCUUAGAACAGGAAAUGAAAGGUGGGUGGUAAUUUGACAGAAAAUGUGAAGUUGGACAUUUUUUAUAAAGAAUGUAUGCUUUCUAAGCAAAUGUAUAGAAAAGUGCACAAAUCACAAUUAUGAGGCUCAACUUAGACAAGUUGGUGACCAAACUCAAUCACAAAAAUGGAGAGUGACAGGAGAUGGUGUCCUUUGCCUGGAGCACAGCCCUCCUCUGCGUACAGCUACACCAUUCCAAGCCUGCUGUCUACAGAAUGUUGGAGAACACGGACAGGUGCAUUAGAUGACUCUUCUGCCUGUAGGAUCCACUCAGCACCUGGUAAUGCUGGCUGGUAUUCACCUGAGCCCUUCACCUGAAACGUAUCUAUCUUUCCCCCGAGGAAGCAUGUGAGACUCAGGAUGGGAACCCUACAUUUACCUCCAGGGUUAGAUCCUAAUCAGUUAAAUUAAUCAUGGUAAUAUCAUCUUCCUUGCCAACGAUUGGCUCAGUGCCCAGGCCUUAGCCAAUCAGGGCAAUUUUCACUGGUACAGGCGUGGACAAGCAAAGUAAGUUGAACCAAUUAGAAUGAAGGAUAAUGCUUUUACUCCGUGAUUUGGGUGAAAGACAUUCACUACACCAGAGGAGACAAAGGAAGCACGUUGCUGUUAUUGCUGUUCAUGGCCUUCUUCCAACAGUAAGGGAAGCUAGUUUGAAGAUAAACUGUACAAAGGAAAGUAAAACAAGAGAAGUGCAGCGAAAUGGUGCCGGAGCCGUGAUGCAGCUACAACCUAGAGUUCUCACAAUCUCUUAAUUUCCUGCUGUCGGCGAUAAAUGUGAUCAUUUUGGCCGAUUUGGUUCAGUUUUUCUGUUCCGUGAAGCUGAAAGCAUCCUGACACAGGGCACACAAUGCUGUUGAAGCCAUCAGAGUACCAGGAUGCUGAUCUCCACGGCAAGUGCCUGAGCAGAGGGAGCUCAGUGAAGAGGAACUGCUCCAGCACUACACAGGCAUUCUUGGUAGCUGGACAGUACUGGACCCAUCACAAUUUCAAUACUGGGAAGAGAAAAGCCAGUCCUCUGGGGAAAGAUGAAGCACUGGACCUACAAACUAACUACUUUCAACCCCUGGAUGAAUCUAGGAGGGAAUUUGUCCAUGUAUUGUCGGUGAAUUCAGCUUGGUUGUGGGGUGGAGGGUCCAAAGCUUCCUACUCCAUCAUCUUGCUCACGUGU